rnacentral:rRNA from 1 species
GAUAAACGCUGGCGGCGUGCAUGAGACAUGCAAGUCGAACGAAGGAUCGGGCUUGCUCGAUCCUUAGUGGCGGACGGCCGAGUAACGAGUAGGUGACCUACCCCGCAGUGGGGAAUAACUGCCCGAAAGGGUGGCUAAUACCGCAUGUGGUCGCACGUUCACUCGUGCGAGUAAAGCCGCAAGGCGCUUCGGGUGGGGCCUGCGUCCGAUUAGCUCGUUGGUUGGGUAAUGGCAUACCAAGGCGACGAUCGGUAGGUGGUCUGAGAGGACGGUCACCCAGACUGGGACUGAGGCACGGCCCAGACUCCGACGGAAGGCAGCAGUCGGGAACUUUGCGCAAUGGGGGAAAACCUGAAGCAGCAACGCCGCGUGAGGGAUGAAGGCCUUCGGGUUGUAAACCUCUUUUGUCAGGGACGAUGAUGACGGUACCUGGCGAAUAAGCCACGGCUAACUACGUG